UGGGUAACCUGCCUCAAAGAGGGGAAUAGCCUCCCGAAAGGGAGAUUAAUACCGCAUAAUAUGUUUAGGUCGCAUGACUUUAACAUCAAAGGAUUUUCUUCGGAACUUCCACUUUGAGAUGGACCCGCGGCGCAUUAGCUAGUUGGUGAGGUAACGGCUCACCAAGGCAACGAUGCGUAGCCGACCUGAGAGGGUGAUCGGCCACAUUGGAACUGAGACACGGUCCAGACUCCUAGGGAGG
rnacentral:rRNA from 1 species